GGAUUCAAAGCUCUAAUAAUCUUUUUCUAUUUAUAUCAUCUUUCCAAGAUAAAAACAUCCACGUAAGAUAGGUUUCUUCAGUUGGCAUCAUAGGUUUUUGUCUUAAUAUUAACUCCAUGGACAUAUAACUAGUGACAGUACUGUGAGUAGUUCUAUCAGCCCAUAAAGCAAAUGGAAGCAGUUUAGGCCAUUGAAUUGACUUAUCUUUACAUGCUUUAACCAAUGCAUAAAUGAUAGGAGGAUGAUCCCUCUCACUCUUUCCAUUGGCUUCAGG
rnacentral:lncRNA from 1 species